GACGAACGCUGGCGGCGUGCUUAACACAUGCAAGUCGAACGAAGAGCGACGGAAGCUUGCUUCUAUCAAUCUUAGUGGCGAACGGGUGAGUAACGCGUAAUCAACCUGCCCUUCAGAGGGGGACAACAGUUGGAAACGACUGCUAAUACCGCAUACGAUCUAAUCUCGGCAUCGAGGAUGGAUGAAAGGUGGCCUCUACAUGUAAGCUAUCACUGAAGGAGGGGAUUGCGUCUGAUUAGCUAGUUGGAGGGGUAACGGCCCACCAAGGCGAUGAUCAGUAGCCGGUCUGAGAGGAUGAACGGCCACAUUGGGACUGAGACACGGCCCAGACUCCUACGGGAGGCAGCAGUGGGGAAUCUUCCGCAAGGGACGAAAGUCUGACGGAGCAACGCCGCGUGAGUGAUGACGGCCGUCGGGUUGUAAAGCUCUGUUAAUCGGGACGAAAGGCCUUCUUGCGAAUAGUGAGAAGGAUUGACGGUACCGGAAGAGAAAGCCACGGCUAACUACGUG
rnacentral:rRNA from 1 species